GAUGAACGCUGACAGAAUGCUUAACACAUGCAAGUCUACUUGAACUUCGGUUUGGGUGGCGGACGGGUGAGUAACGCGUACAGAACUUGCCUCACAGUUAGGGACAACAUUUGGAAACGAAUGCUAAUACCUGAUAUUAUGAUUUUAGGGCAUCCUAGGAUUAUGAAAGCUAUAUGUGCUGUGAGAGAGCUUUGCGUCCCAUUAGCUAGUUGGAGAGGUAACGGCUCACCAAGGCGAUGAUGGGUAGCCGGCCUGAGAGGGUGAACGGCCACAAGGGGACUGAGACACGGCCCUUACGCCUACGGGAGGCAGCAGUGGGGAAUAUUGGACAAUGGACCAAAAGUCUGAUCAAGCAAUUCUGUGUGCACGAUGACGUUUUUCGGAAUGUAAAGUGCUUUCAGUUGGGAAGAAAAAAAUGACGGUACCAACAGAAGAGGUGACGGCUAAAUACGUG
rnacentral:rRNA from 1 species